GAUCAGGCUCAGGAUGAACGCUAGCGGCAGGCUUAACACAUGCAAGUCGAGGGGCAGCAUAAUGGAUAGCAAUAUCUAUGGUGGCGACCGGCGCACGGGUGCGUAACGCGUAUGCAACCUACCUUUAACAGGGGGAUAACACUGAGAAAUUGGUACUAAUACCCCAUAAUAUCAUAGAAGGCAUCUUUUAUGGUUGAAAAUUCCGAUGGUUAGAGAUGGGCAUGUGUUGUAUUAG
rnacentral:rRNA from 1 species